UAAUUUUAAUGCUGUUCUGUCGUUCAUUGGCAAAAUAGUUUGUACUGAGCCUUUACCAAAUGUUUUUUCACCCAUUAUUACAGCUCUUUUGUGGUCUUGUAAUGCUCCAGCGACGAUUUCAGAGGCAGAUGCUGAUCCACCAUUUACAAGAAUAAUAAUUGGAGUGUCUUUUAACAUUUCAGAUGGCUUUGCAUUAAAUUUAAGUUUUGAAUCCUUGAUUCGGCCCUCUGUAUAAACAAUCAAUCCGUUAUUAAGAAAUAGGUCUGACACACCAACAGCUGCAUUAAGAAGUCCACCAGGAUUAUUUCUUA
rnacentral:ncRNA from 1 species